rnacentral:rRNA from 1 species
GGGUCAGUAGGUUGGUCGUGCCACCGGUACGUACUGGUCUCACUGAUUCCUCCUUCCUGAAGAACCGUAAUGCCAUUAAUUUGGUGUUGCGGGGAAACAGGACUGUUACUUUGAAAAAAUUAGAGUGUUUAAAGCAAGCUAACGCUUGAAUAAAUUAGCAUGGAAUAAUGUAAUAGGACGAUCGAUCCUAUUUUGUUGGUUUCUAGGAUUGACGUA